CUGGUGUAGAUCCUUAAUAAAGAUCCAGCAUCCCAAACUCUGAGUCUUCUCCCAAAGAACCCAACCUGUGACACAGUGGACAUCUGGGCAGGGGCAUUGGUGACCACAGGGACAGCACUUGGUACUAGCUCGUCUCACCCAAGGGCAGCAGAUGUGGAACUGGCCAACCACGGGGGCAACUUGCUCACCCCCAGGCAGGGCUCUGUCUGCUGACAUCAAGCCAAUUACAGCAUCCUUCUGAGAGGCCGGCAAAGAAAACAAAGGCUCUGCAAGAGGAAAGAGAGACCCCCAGUCAGCACUUGGGCUGUGGAAGCUUUAGGAAUAACACUCAAAAGUGUGGGAGCCAGCCUAGACUGGAAUCCCGGUUCUACUUCACAAGCUGUGUGACCCUGGACAGUGUACUUAACCUCUCAGUUCUGUUAUCUAUAAAAACCUCUUUGGUUGGUCCUGGGGAUUAGCUAAAAUGACAGAAAUGAAAGCACUUUGGAGGAACAAAAAAUGGAAUCCACUGAAGCCUUCAGCUGUGCUGUGUUGUAAAUGAAAGCUGCUUAACCGAGAGUGGCAUAUGGAAUCUCAGACAUGCAUCUGAGUCUCAGCUGUUUACUGUGUGACCCUCAGAUACUCACUCAACCUCUCAGAG
rnacentral:lncRNA from 1 species